rnacentral:rRNA from 1 species
AUGAGAAUACUAAGUUGGAACUACCGUGGGAUAGGCGAUCCCGCGACAGUUCGUGAACUCCGUGAUCUCCUUGAGAUCAGCUCGCCAUCUAUCCUUUGUUUAGUAGGAACUCAGUUACAAAAGGCUCGUGUUGCGGGUCUUCGUCCUUCCUUAGGUUUUGAUUUCAGUUUUGGUGUUGGUAGUACUGGUCGCAGUGGUGGCAUUUGUAUCUUCUGGAAAAACUCU